UACGGAGGGUGCAAGCGUUAUCCGGAUUCACUGGGUUUAAAGGGUGCGUAGGCGGGUUUGUAAGUCAGUGGUGAAAUCCCCGAGCUUAACUUGGGAACUGCCGUUGAUACUAUAAAUCUUGAAUAUCGUGGAGGUGAGCGGAAUAUGUCAUGUAGCGGUGAAAUGCUUAGAGAUGACAUAGAACACCGAUUGCGAAGGCAGCUCACUACGCGAUUAUUGACGCUGAGGCACGAAAGCGUGGGGAUCAAACAGG
rnacentral:rRNA from 1 species